ACUAGACAUGGCGCUGGCCAGCGUGUUGGAGAGGCCACUACCGGUGAACCGGCGCGGGUUUUUUGGACUCGGGAGUCGUGCGGAUCUGCUGGACCUGGGUCCAGGCAGUCCCAGCGAUGGGCUGAACCUGGCCGCGCCCAGCUGGGGUGUCCCAGAGGAGCCGAGAAUUGAAAUGCUUCAUGGAACCACCACCCUGGCCUUCAAGUUUCGCCACGGAGUCACUGUUGCAGCAGAUUCCCGGGCCACAGCCGGUGCCUACAUCGCCUCCCAGACAGUAAAGAAGGUGAUAGAGAUCAAUCCCUACCUGCUGGGCACCAUGGCUGGGGGUGCAGCGGAUUGCAGCUUCUGGGAGCGGCUAUUGGCUCGGCAAUGUCGAAUCUAUGAGCUUCGAAACAAGGAACGCAUCUCUGUAGCAGCUGCCUCCAAGCUGCUUGCCAACAUGGUGUAUCAGUAUAAAGGCAUGGGGCUGUCCAUGGGCACCAUGAUCUGUGGCUGGGAUAAGAGAGGCCCUGGCCUCUACUACGUGGACAGUGAAGGAAACCGGAUCUCGGGGGCCACCUUCUCUGUAGGCUCUGGCUCUGUAUAUGCUUAUGGGGUCAUGGAUCGGGGUUACUCCUAUGACCUGGAGGUGGAGGAGGCCUAUGAUCUGGCCCGUCGAGCCAUCUACCAAGCCACCUACAGAGAUGCCUACUCAGGAGGUUCAGUCAACCUCUACCAUGUCAGGGAGGAUGGCUGGAUCCGGGUCUCCAGUGACAAUGUCGCUGAUCUACAUGACAAGUAUAGUGGAUCUACCCGCUGAAGGAGGAUGGAUGUGGCUGCUUGCAUUUCUUGGGGGUGACUAUUGUUGGUAAUAGGGUACAGUUCCCCAUCCUCUAGUGGAGGGGGUCCCCAAUUGUAUCGAUCACAUUUUUUUUAAUCUCUGGUGCAUUGACCUCCAUGUGUUACCAGCUGUUAAUGAGCUACUGCAGAGGUAAUUAUUGGUUUUACUUUCUUGAAUGUUAACAUGACACUACUCGACCUCAAAAAAAAA